rnacentral:rRNA from 1 species
GGGUAGAGUAAUGCGUGACCAACCUGCCCCAUGCUCCAGAAUAGCUCUUGGAAACGGGUGGUAAUGCUGGAUGCUCCAACUUGACGCAUGUCUUGUUGGGAAAGUGUUUAGUGGCAUGGGAUGGGGUCGCGUCCUAUCAGCUUGUAGGCGGGGUAAUGGCCCACCUAGGCUUCGACGGGUAGCCGGCCUGAGAGGGCGGACGACCACAUUGGGACUGAGAUACGGCCCAGACUCCUACGGGAGGCAGCAGCC